AGUUCAGUAACGCCCAGCAAGUCAUGGAGGUAGGAUGUGUGGACCCCCUCUCCCGUCUCGCCUGUAUUGACCAACAUCACCUCAUACUCACAUAAGAUGGCCAGUGAACAUAGACAUUUCUCCAACUAUGAUAAAAUCCAGAUAACCAUAACACUGAAAUUUAAUAACAGCAAGAACUAAUGAUAAAAGUUGUCUGAGAUUUGGUUCUGAUGUAUACGACUUUAUGAACUUUUUGAAAUAGCGUGGGAUAAAUGGCUGAACUUUCUACAAAUUAUCAGUGUUUACUUAGACAAUAAUUCCACAUAAAUUAUACCAGAAUGAAGAUUAUCAACAAAAACACAAGGAAUAAUUAUCAGUAAUACAUCAAAUAUAAGAUGGAGGGAGUGCCAUUCGACGUGCUGUGGUGCCAGUGCCAGGGUAACGCGAGUGCCACGCCCCACCAGGUCCUCAUCCACCAGCAGGUGUACAAGAUGCACCAGGACGCCCAGCACCACGCCCUCUGGUACGUGGGCGUGGUGCUGACCCUCUACCUGCUGGGUCUCCUCCUCAUCAUCAAGAAGUCAGGGAGCUCAGAGCGACACACAGCCAUAUCUGCCCUGUCCUUCUGCUGCUCUCAGGCCAUCUCCUCCAUAGGGCGCCGCAGGAACUAGUGCUGGUGGUGUGUGUGUGUCCUCAGAGACAGAUCCCUGGACCUAUUAUGUUGAUAUCUUUAACUGUGUGUGAACCGUAAACACUGUUAUCUAAGGUUGCACCACACACUGUUAUCUUAGGCUGCACCACACACUGUCAUCUUAGGCUGCA